UACGGAGGGUGCAAGCGUUAUCCGGAUUCACUGGGUUUAAAGGGUGCGUAGGUGGCUAUUUAAGUCAGUGGUGAAAGCCCGCGGCUCAACCGUGGAAUUGCCAUUGAAACUGAAUAGCUUGAGUACAGUUGAAGUGGGCGGAAUACAUCAUGUAGCGGUGAAAUGCUUAGAUAUGAUGUAGAACACCGAUUGCGAAGGCAGCUCACUAAGCUGUAACUGACACUGAGGCACGAAAGCGUGGGUAGCGAACAGG
rnacentral:rRNA from 1 species